rnacentral:rRNA from 1 species
UACGGGGGGAGCAAGCGUUGUUCGGAUUUACUGGGCGUAAAGGGCGCGUAGGCGGCCACCGCAAGUCGACUGUGAAAUCUCCGGGCUUAACCCGGAAUGGUCAGCCGAUACUGCGGGGCUAGAGUGCAGAAGGGGCAACUGGAAUUCUCGGUGUAGCGGUGAAAUGCGUAGAUAUCGAGAGGAACACCUGCGGCGAAGGCGGGUUGCUGGGCUGACACUGACGCUGAGGCGCGAAAGCUAGGGGAGCGAACGGG